AUACGGAAGGUCCGGGCGUUAUCCGGAUUUAUUGGGUUUAAAGGGAGCGCAGGCGGAGAUGCAAGCGUGACGUCAAAUUUCGGGGCUCAACCCCGUCUCGCGUCGCGAACUGCGUCCCUUGGUUGCGGGAAGGGGAGGCGGAACUCGUGGUGUAGCGGUGAAAUGCAUAGAUAUCACGAAGAACUCCGAUCGCGAAGGCAGCCGUCCGGCCCGUCAACGACGCUCAUGCUCGAAGGUGCGGGUAUCAAACAGGAUUAGAUACCCUGGUAGUCCGCGCAGUAAACGAUGGACACCCGCGGUUUGGCCUGUAUGGCUGAGCCGCCAAGCGAAAGCGUUAAGUGUCCCACCUGGGGAGUACGCCGGCAACGGUGAAACUCAAAGGAAUUGACGGGG
rnacentral:rRNA from 1 species